GCCGAGCGGGGCUGGCGGUCCCGGCCCGGGCGCUUUGGCCGCAGAGCUCGCGGGUUCGGCAGCCUGGACUCGCGUGGGGAGAUCGCGAUGUUCUCCUCCCAGGCCGGCGCCCGGCCGCGGACGUGGGAGGCUAGUCCCUCAGAGCACAAGAAGUGGGUGGAAGUAUUUAGAGCAUGCGAUGAAGAUAACAAAGGCUAUCUAAGCAGAGAGGACUUUAAAGUUGCUGUUGUAAUGCUGUUUGGUUACAAGCCAUCCAAGAUAGAAGCUGAUUCUGUGAUGUCUUCAGUAGAUCCAAACACUUCUGGGAUACGACUUAAGGAGUUUUUAGACAUCGUAAGGAAAAAGAAGGAAGCUCAACUGUAUCGCAAUGAAGUAAGACACAUCUUCACAGCUUUCGACAGGCACUAUCGUGGAUAUUUAACUCUGGAAGAUUUCAAGAAAGCAUUUAAGCAGGUGGCUCCCAAGUUAUCAGAAAGGAUUAUCCUCGAGGUAUUCAGAAUUAACCUACAGACCAAGAAGAGAGGACUUAGGGUUACAGAACAGAGUGUGAUGCUGUCAGAACAGUGGAAAUGCGCAGAUCAGACUGACAGAAGGUGAAAGGGAAGAGGGAGCUGAUCUCUUCAUCUCACACUGUGUGGGGGUAAGAAAUUUUGUGUUGAGUCCGUGGAACGAGAAAUUGAAUUGAAAGUGUACUCUUAUAAAAGGAACCCAAAGAAGAAUUAAAAAUAAUACAGAGAGCACUAGACUUUGGCAGGGAAAAGAAGUAAAAGCCGAGUGAGUAAAUGUUCCUCUUCAGUUACUGGCAUCACCCUAGAGGCACUCCUACAUGUACGCACCAGAAGCCAUGGGCAAGGAUACAUGUCUGCGCUGUUUCCAGCUAAACGUCCACCAUGAGAGGAACGUCCACCAUGAGAGCAGUGGCUAAAGCACUGUGGAAGUGGAGGUCGCUCCGUCGUGUCCGACUCUUUGCGACCCGUGGACUGCAGCCCAUCCAGGCUCCUCUGUCCAUGGGAUUCUCCAGGCCAGAAUACUGGAGUGGGUAGCCUUUCCCUCCUCCAGGGGAUCUUCCUGACCCAGGAAUCGAACCCAGGGCUCCCAUAUUGCAGGCGGAUUCUUCACCAGCUGCGCCGUGAGGGAAGCCCGCUGCAGCCUGUGCCUUCUGUGGAGCAGUUUGCUGCUGGUGUUGGUCUAGUUGGCUGCCGUGGAAAGUGUGGCAGAUCAGGUGGCUUAGCCGACAGAAGUCUGCACUCACGGUUCUGGAGCCUAGGCGUCAGCAGGGUCGGUUCCUCUGAGGCCGCGCUCUGUGGCUCGUGGACGGCUGGGUUCCUUCUGAAUUCACCUGGUCUUUCGCUGUGUCUCUGUCCUAAUCUCCUCUUCCAUGAGGCUGCCAGUCAUAUCGGAUCAGGCUUUACCCUAAUGGCCCCACUUUAACCUAAUUAUCUCUUUAAAGAUCCUUCAUCCAAAUAGUCACAUUCUGAGGCACUAAGGAUUAGAACUUGAACAUGGGAAUUCUGGGGGCACCCAAUCCAUCCCAUGAAAUGGCCUCCACAAGGAAUGGGUCAGAUAUACAUCCACAGUACAGCGUCAACUCAGAAAACAACGCUGAGUUGAAAGGGCAAAGGGGCAGCACACACGAUGCAAAGCGUGCAUAUUACAUAUGCUGCCACGUGCCAUCAUGGGCAUGAAACACACACGCAUUCACCGCACAAGAAUCUUUUGUAUAAGCAUGUCAGUGUUCUGGAAGGAUCGAUUCAAAUGCACUGGAGGUGGCCUCUAUGUCACUUGGUUAAAUGUGACUUUAGCUGUAGUGCUUUAUUUUUGUAAAAACACUGGAAGCAAACAUGAUGAGAUGUGAGUGGCUUUUAAUUCUAAGGAGUAUAAUACGGGAGUGUGGUUGUUACAGUCUUCCUAGUGUUUACACAUUUCAGUUAUUCAAUAAGUUAAAAAAAGCAAAAAGGAAGACCAACUCACCCAUUCCCACAGGGACUUUACAUUUAUUUUGAGGUGAAGUCCAACCAUAAGGGCUUCCCCGGUGACACAGUGGUAAAAAAUCUGCCUGCAGUGCAGGAGAUUUGCAGGAGAUGUCGGUUCAGCCCCUGGAUCGGGAAGAUCCCCUGGAGGAGGGCAUGGCGACCACUCCGGUAUUCUUGCCUGGGAAAUCCCAUGGACAGAGGAGCCUGGCGGGGUACAGUCCAUGGGGUCACACAGAGUCGGAUAUGACUGAGCAGGCUGAACAACAACCACCACCACCAUAGAGGAGCUGCAAACAGGCUGCAUCUCACCUCUGCCUCCCUCAAGACCCUUACUCCUCCCACUGCAUUCUGACAUCAGGAAAUUGCAGGAUGCUUUACGCGUCAGCCCUCUGAACUUCCUUUCGAGUUCUUUCUAAGAAGGUGGUCUAUGACCUACCACCUCAUGCUAUUUCUCCCUUCAGUUCAGUUCAGUUCAGUCGCUCAGUCGUGUCCGACUCUUUGCGACCCCAUGAAUUGCAACACACCAGGCCUUCCUGUCCAUCACCAACUCCCAGAGUUCACUCAGACUCAUGUGCAUCGAGUCGGUGAUGCCAUCCAGCCAUCUCAUCCUCGG